rnacentral:rRNA from 1 species
AUUGAACGCUAGCGGCAGGCCUAACACAUGCAAGUCGAGCGGAUGAAGGGAGCUUGCUCCUGGAUUCAGCGGCGGACGGGUGAGUAAUGCCUAGGAAUCUGCCUGGUAGUGGGGGAUAACGUCCGGAAACGGGCGCUAAUACCGCAUACGUCCUGAGGGAGAAAGUGGGGGAUCUUCGGACCUCACGCUAUCAGAUGAGCCUAGGUCGGAUUAGCUAGUUGGUGGGGUAAAGGCCUACCAAGGCGACGAUCCGUAACUGGUCUGAGAGGAUGAUCAGUCACACUGGAACUUAGACACGGUCCAGACUCCUACGGGAGGCAGCAGUGGGGAAUAUUGGACAAUGGGCGAAAGCCUGAUCCAGCCAUGCCGCGUGUGUGAAGAAGGUCUUCGGAUUGUAAAGCACUUUAAGUUGGGAGGAAGGGCAGUAAGUUAAUACCUUGCUGUUUUGACGUUACCAACAGAAUAAGCACCGGCUAACUUCGUG